rnacentral:rRNA from 1 species
ACGGGAGGCAGCAGUGAGGAAUAUUGGUCAAUGGAGGCAACUCUGAACCAGCCAUCUCGCGUGAAGGAAUACGGCCCUACGGGUCUUAAACUUCUUUUAUAGGGGGAUAAAGUGAGGCAUGCAUGCCUUUUUGUAGGUACCCUAUGAAUAAGCAUCGGCUAACUCCGUGCCAGCAGCCGCGGUAAUACGGAGGAUGCGAGCGUUAUCCGGAUUUAUUGGGUUUAAAGGGAGCGUAGGCGGUAUUUUAAGCGUGUUGUGAAAUGUAGAUGCUCAACAUCUGAAUUGCAGCGCGAACUGGAGUACUUGAGUGCGCAGGAAGUUGGCGGAAUUCGUCGUGUAGCGGUGAAAUGCUUAGAUAUGACGAAGAACUCCGAUUGCGAAGGCAGCUGACUGUAGCGUAACUGACGCUGAAGCUCGAAGGUGCGGGUAUCGAACAGGAUUAGAUACCCUGGUA